rnacentral:rRNA from 1 species
GUCCUGGCAGUAAACGGUGCACGUUUGGUGUGGGGGGAUUCGACCCCUUACGCGCCGGAGCUAACGCGUUAAACGUGCCGCCUGGGGAGUACGGUCGCAAGAUUAAAACUCAAAGAAAUUGACGGGGGCCCGCACAAGCGGUGGAGUAUGUGGCUUAAUUCGAUGCAACGCGAAGAACCUUACCAGGCCUUGACAUGCAUUUCUAAGUUGGUGAAAGCCAGCGAGUCUCGAAAGAGACAACUUGCACAGGUGCUGCAUGGCUGUCGU